CUUGCAGACUGGUUCCCUCUGCAGGCAAACACGUUGUGAUUAUCUCACGUUGCACAGGGAUAAUAAUUGUCACAGUGUUCGCAGGGAUCAUUCAAAAAUGCACAGCACAGAGACUCAUUAUUCAACUUCACUCUUCCAUACCUAUUAUGAUAUACAUCAUCGGAAUGAUGACUUUCAGGACGAUAUUUCAACAGCACAUGUCUUUCUCUUGAUGUAUUGGGUUUCAUACCAUCGCUUUUAAAGCAACACAGAAUUCCUGGAUGAAACCUCUGGGUGACAGGAGAUACAAGACAGUGAUGCCUCCCAUUCACUUUCCAUCUGUAAAACCUUUCCUGCAGAAACACAAGCCUUAUGUCUAUCCCACAAAGGAAGUCAGGGACCCCGGAGGGACCGGCUGAAGCCAUGGCAGAAAAACAUAAAUUGUGAAGAUUUCAUGGACAUUUAUUAGUUCCCCAAAUUAAUACUUUUAUAAUUUCUUACACCUGUCUUUACCGCAAUCUCUGAACAUAAAUUGUGAAGAUUUCAUGGACACGUAUCACUUCCCCAAUCAAUACCCUUGUGAUUUCCUAUGCCUGUCUUUACUUUAAUCUCUUAAUCCCAUCAUCUUCGUAAACUGAGGAGGAUGUAUGUCACCUCAGGACCCUGUGAUGAUUGUGUUAACUGCUCAAAUUAUUUGUAGAGCAUGUGUGUUUGACAAUAUGAAAUCUGGGCACCUUGAAAAAAGAAAAGGAUAACAGCAAUGUUCAGGGAACAAGAGAGAUAACCUUAAACUUUGACUGCUGGUGAGCCGGGUGGAAAAGAGCCAUAUUUCUCUUCUUUCAAAAGGAAAUGGGAGAAAUAUCACUGAAUUCUUUUUCUCAGCAAGGAACAUCCUUGAGAAAGAGAAUGCGGCCUUGAGGGUAGACCUCUGAAAUGGCCGCUUUGGGGGCAGCCGUCUUUUAUGGUUGUAGCUGUAGGGAUGAAAUAAGCCCCAGCCUCCUGUAGUGCUCCUGUGCUUAUUAGGAAGAGGAAAUUCCCACCUAAUAAAUUUUGGUCAGACUGGUUGUCCGCUCUCAAUCCCUGUCUCCUGAUAAGAAGUUAUCAAUGACAAUGCAUGCCCAAAGCUUCAUUAGCAAUUUUAAUUUCGCCCCAGCCCUGUGGUCCUGUGAUCUUGCCCUGCCUUCAUUUACCUUGUGAUAUCUUAUUACCUUGUGAAACAUGUCAUCCCUGUGACCCACAUCCUAUUUGUACACUCCCUCCCCUUUUGAAAAUCACUAAUAAAAACUUGCUGGUUUUGCAGCUUAGGGGGCAUCACGGAACCUGCCAACAUGUGAUGUCUCCCCUGGACACCUAGCUUUAAAAUUUCUCCUUUUGUACUCUGUCCCUUUAUUUCUCAGACCGGCCAAUACUUAGGGAAAAUAGAAAAGAACCUACAUGAAAUAUCGGGGGUGAAUUUCGCCCAAUAUCAACUGAGAGGUGAUCUCUCUUAUAGUAGCAUUUCCCCCAUCAUCAUCUAGGCUGGAGUUCCCUAACAUUUAUGUUAAUAGGAGCUAUUUUUAAUUUUCCCUAUGGUCUUAAGAUUUGAAAGGUAGAGGACUUCUUGAUUUAUGUCUGGAGAAAAAAACACAGAAAAUGAAAUCUGAGUAAAGAUAAAUUUAAGGCUUUAGUAUUUGAACACAUCAGGGCAAGGAAAGAUACCAUCAAUUUUUCUGUCAUCCUCUCUGGUCACUGAUGGAUUGACUAGUGCAAUUGGCUUGAAAUUAUGCCAAAUAAAAUUUUAAUGCCCACUGACCUGCUAUUUGGAGAUUCCAUAAGCUAAGUUUCUUUGUUAACUGUUUGUGUAGUAGCUUGACCCUUAGGCAGGUUGGGAACACCCAGCCCAGAAAACCUGUGUAAUGAGAAUUAGGAGCAAUGGAGAUAGAGUGUAAACUCUUAGCAACCAGAUAGUACUCAUUGCAAGCCACUUCUCCCAUCUUCACAAAUGAUUUUGAU
rnacentral:lncRNA from 1 species